AAAUUCAUUCUGAAUCACCAUUAGAUGAAUUAUCCCUUCAGUGAUUUCAAAAGCUUUGUUGUUGUGUUUAAUUUGUUAACCAAUUUAAUUCUGUAAACUAGAACUUAAACUAUGCUAGAAAUUGAAAGGAAAUGGUGUAACCUAAUUGAUCUGGCUAGGAAAAUUAAGAAAAGAGGAAUGAGUGCAAUUCUUGAUGACUGGUAGACGGGUUUAGGUUGUACAGGAAGAAAAUCCAUGUGCAUUUUGUGUUACAGGUAAGUCUAGGAUCCCAGGAAUUAGAACAUAUAAUCUUCAAAGCAUCCAUGUACAAAGAACUCUUAGGCAAGCCAAAGGAGCAUCAACUAAUCUAAACCGUUUGGUGCAUCACAGUGCUACUUCUAAGACCAGCCAACUAAAUCAGAGCAACCAGCAGGAAGCCAGCCAGUAGCCUCUCCCAGCUAAAUCAACCAUAAGAUUCAGUAGUAACUGUGAAAAUGAGAGAAAUUACAGGAAAAAUUCUUCCUUGGGAUUACUACACAGCCUUGAGUGGUGUUACAGAAGUGGCAUUUUGUACUUUCAUUUUAAUGCUGUGAUUGUGAAUGCAUAAUGAAUUAUAUGAAAUGUCAAUUAAGUAAUGAAAUUAUUUAAUUCAAUGAAGCAACCAUUUACACACAUAUAGAAUAUCUGGAUCCCUUGGGACUCAGAGAUCCCUUUGUCUUGUUCUAACUCACACCAGUAUAAAUCAGGAGUCAACCUUCUGAAUUUAGUUGACAGGAAGUCUGAAUUCAAUAUGAUUUCUUCAUAUUUGUACUGGAAAAAUACAUAGAGUCAGAUCUCUCCAUCUUUACUAUGUAGUGGUGUUUUCUUCCAAGAUCUUCAUAAUCUUAAUUACUGUUCAAUUUUUACUAAACUGGGAAAAUAUCAUGGGUUACAGUACAGUACACUUUCUUGAAAAGGUGAGGAACUAAAAACAACAAAAUCAGUGCGUGCCAGAUCAAGGUUUUCUGCUGGUAAAUUUACUGUGCAAAUUUUUCUUUUGCUGUUCAGAAAUACGCUUUUAGACAAUUCCAAAAAUUGGUUAUAACACAUGCCUUUACUAUACCUAUAGAGCCUAUCUCAUAUAUAUCUGUGUGUAUUUGUGUGUGUGCAUGAACUGAUGUAAGGAAUAGCAACGGAAUUAAAUCUGAGUGUAAAUUACGGACUUUAAUAUUGCACCUUUUAGAAAAAAUGCAUUUCACUUUUCAGAU
rnacentral:lncRNA from 1 species